rnacentral:rRNA from 1 species
GACGAACGCUGGCGGCGUGCUUAACACAUGCAAGUCGAACGAUGAAGCUGGAGCUUGCUCCGGUGGAUUAGUGGCGAACGGGUGAGUAACACGUGAGCAAUCUGCCCUUGACUCUGGGAUAACUGCGGGAAACUAUAGCUAAUACCGGAUACGACACCUUGGGGCAUCCCAGGGUGUGGAAAGAAUUUCGGUCAAGGAUGAGCUCGCGGCCUAUCAGCUAGUUGGUGAGGUAAUGGCUCACCAAGGCGACGACGGGUAGCCGGCCUGAGAGGGUGACCGGCCACACUGGAACUGAGACACGGUCCAGACUCCUACGGGAGGCAGCAGUGGGGAAUAUUGCACAAUGGGCGAAAGCCUGAUGCAGCAACGCCGCGUGAGGGAUGAAGGCCUUCGGGUUGUAAACCUCUUUUAGCAGGGAAGAAGCGAAAGUGACGGUACCUGCAGAAAAAGCACCGGCUAACUACGUGCCAGCAGCCGCCGUAA